CACAGUUUUAAAACCCGCAGCAUCGCACGCACUCCUUUACUAUUUGAAAUCACCGUUCCGCCCACCCAAACAGAGCUACGCUCGAUGAAAUGAAAGCAGGCGCCUCUCUGAAUUCUGGAAAUGUGAAGAACCACCGGCACAAAAUACACACCUGACAUUAAAAUGUUUCAUUUUAUCUUCAAAACCUCUCUCCAUCUUCAACAAACCAGAACCCUGAAUGCCAAUAUCAGAUCCCUCACCACUCUCAGCAUUUGUGACUACCCAGCACUCACAGACUAUCUCACAAACACUUUGGCUUUCACCCCAGAGUCAGCUUCUCAAGUCUCCAAGAAAAUCCAUGGUAGACCCCCCAACAAUCCCUACCCAGUCCACUCCCUCUUCGAACAUUACGGUUUUACCCCUACCCACAUAGCCAAAAUCAUCACCAUAUGCCCAUCCUUCCUCUGGGCAAACCCAGAAAAAACCCUCAAGCCCAAGCUAGACUUUCUCGCCCAAAAUGGCAUUUAUGGUCAAGACCUUGUAAUCACAAUCACCAACAACCCCAGAAUUCUAGAGCGGAGUUUGAACAAACAGAUUGCGCCCUGUAUUGGGUUCCUCAAGAGCUUUCUUGGGUCUGCCUCGGCUUUGUUGUCGCACUUUUCGGUCAAGCGUGGUACUGCGGUUGUGCUCAGAUUUUCUGACUCUAUGGGCGCGAACGCUGAGACUCUAAGACAACACGGUGUGCCUCACAGUAACAUUAUGAAGAUGAUCGCGUGCCAGCCAGGGAUAUUUUCAAGGGAUGUUGAGGUUUUCAGUAAGAUUGUGAGGGAGGUUGAGGAACUGGGUUUCAAUCCGUUGAGCAUGAUGUUCAUCUAUGGCGUGUGUACGCUUUUUUCGAUGACGAAGGACAAGUGGGUUUCAAAAUUUGAGGUGUUGAAGAGUUUUGGGUGGUCGGAGGCGGAGUUUCAGGCUUUGUUCUUGAAGCAACCCCUAGUAAUGAGGUCGUCGGAGGAGCGAUUAAAGAGGGCAUUGGACUUUUUCAUGAACAAGAUGGGGUGGGGCACUUCGGACAUUCUCAAGUACCCAGUUUUGCUUUGCUUGAGCUUUGAAAAGAGGGUGUUGCCAAGGUGGUCGAUACUUCAAGUUUUGAUUGCCAAAGGUGUUAUAACCAAGAGCAAGAAGACUACUGCGAAGGCAUUUAUGCAAACUGAGGACAAGUUUGUGAGCGAGUUUGUGAAGGGAUAUGAAGAGCAUGCCCCUGAACUUUUGGAGAUGUACCAAAAAAAGCUCCGAGGUUUAUGAUAUGUGACUCUGUUUCCUUGCAAUGAGGGUGUAUAUUGAGGAAAAGGCAUGAGAACUACUAGCACUUUUAGAUAUGAUUUAUUGGAUGAUGGAUUGAAAUUGAGGAUGAGAUGACAUGAAGCUACUAGGCCUGGCAACUUAUCAGUGAUGGAAAUCAGGAAGGAACAUGUAAUGAGAAAUUGGGGUUGUGACUAAAUGUGAUGGUAGAAGAACGAGUGAUGCUUUUCUUAUGGGACAAAGCCAGAUUCUGGGCCUCGCUCCAGGCUUCUUCUGAGUUCCCAGGCUUCCCUUUCUUCCCUCUGACUUUGGAUUGGGAAGCAGCUAGUUCUUAUGGUUUGGGUCUGUUUUCAGUGUGGCUGUUCUGCUGUUUUGUUGUUUUUUUGUGGCCUUUUGUAGUUUGAUGGUUGUUUUUUAAUGGACAGCUUGUUCACUUAUAUUGUACUUCCCCCUUUCGUUCUUGUUCAAUUUUUCUGUUAAUGUGGAUCAUUUCUUCUGUAUAUAGCUACAUUAUUGCCUUAUUACUAAGUUUCCCCUAACAUUCUUUCCUCCUUUUAGGGUAGGUUGGAUGGCUGGUGUGGUCCUGAGAUUGGUCAUCAAGGAGUUUGAAGGUUUUUCAUGGACCAAUUGCUUCUCAGUUCCCACUGUAUUUGUUGUGUCAAAAGAACGUGAUGGUCACUGUAUUUGUUUGAAGGUUUUUGUAUGUGAAGGAGUUCUUUUUAAAUCCGCAUGUUUUUAUGCAGUUGGUUUCGACCUGAACAACAAAUCAACGAUGAGCAGCUGGCCUACUUCUCCAUUCAUGACAGGUCUUUCCUUUCAAGGAGGUUUCAAGUUUUGGGAGUCGAGGAGAUUUCAUGUAGAUGUUAUUGGAUCUUCAAAAGUCUUUUGAUUUGGAUACCAAAAGUAGAGAAAAUAUUGACAAUCAUAAUCUGAUUGAAAGGAGUUGUCUGGCUAAUCCAUGAUAUUGCCCUUGGGGGGUUUGUAGGACACAUCUUUUUGUUCUAGGCAGAUGUUGAUGCUGAUGGACCCAAUGGAAUGAUUCGACCUUUGAGGGGCCGAAAGAAUGGGAUUGGUGAAACACUUUCCUAUCAAUUUACUCUUUCCCUCUGUAGUCUAAUGGAACUGGCAGAAAAAUAAAUCCAUAUUCCUAUACCUUCCAA